GAAGAAGUAUCAGAUAGAAAAGAGGAAGACUCGGUUUGGAGAGAAGGAAUAGUGAAAGCGUGAAAGUAAAGAAAGCGAAGCAGUUGAAAUUCCGGCAAUGAAGAUCCAAAGCGAGGAUUCGUUGAUCGCAGGCAGCGGCUGCGAAGGAAAAGUGAGGGUGGUCAGAGCGACAGCGACAACAACGGCGACGGCGGAAGUGGAGCAGGAGCGGGAGGGUG
rnacentral:misc_RNA from 1 species